GGGAUUGUGGCUCAGUGGUAGAGUGCUCGCCUAGCAUGUGUGAGGCCCUGGGUUCGAUCCUCAGUACCA
rnacentral:tRNA from 1 species